AGAUCAUGUGCAAUGGCUCACUGUGAAAGUGGGAGCCUGCCCAUUGUCUCUAUGACCUUUCCUCCUCGUGGCUGCAAGGAACUACUCUUGGAAUACCUUACCUGGGUAUUGGCUCCCUAGUGCUCCGCAUAUGCCCCCAACUGGGUGUUACUACCUCUUCAUGAAGUGAAAGAAUUCAAGGUUGAGUAGGUAACACUAGGAGCUGAGAGCCAGUAACCAUGCAAGCUGCCAAGACUAAUAAGAGAGGAAGGAUGGUGGACAUUCAUUGUGGGAAAAUAGCAAACUCGAAGACACUGGGUUACAGGUAUCUUCAUUCCUCUAGUCUGUAUCACUAACCACUCCAACCCGUAUUUCUAGUCCUGGAAUCAAAUGUUGCCAGAGCCAGAACAUUUAUAAAGGAAAUUUUCUAAGCUGCAAGACACAGACCAAACUGCUGAGAGUGACAACGUCUAGGAAGAGAAUUGUUUCUUGGCCUUCACAGCAGCCAAUAGACAGCCAUAUGAAGCGUUGUGGCAAAUGAGACAAGGCAGGGAGUUUCUGAAGACUGCCUUUGUGACAGGAGCAGUAAGCUUUCUGGCUCCAUAUCUUUCUUAAAGAUAUAAUGAUAGUAACAACCAAAGCUAGCUUAGCAACUCUAUGUAAGAGUUAAAAAAAAAAAUGCCCUGUUCAAGCUACUGUUUGGGGAUUCAAUUGCUAACUGCUAAUUGGCAAAACGGAUCAAAAUGAAAACACAAAACAAGGUCGGAAGAAAAUGUUUAUUUAGUAAAAUGAUAUGGAGUCUGUAGGAAUCAUGCAGAGGAUUUUUAAGAAGUUUUUUGAAAAUACAGUCAUUAAGAAAUCAUUUGAACAAAACUCCUGUAAGUAAUAAACGUGUAUAUUACAUAACCACAAAUUUAAAAGCAUGUAAUGGUUGAUUUUGAUUCAGGAGUCAUUGUUUCCCCACAUCCACCUCUCAUAGAGAAAAUUAAAUCACAAGAUUCUGAUGGCUUCUAAGGUUUUCCAUACAUUUCUCAAGUUUUCAGUGACUCAACUGCACAGGCAUAAAGAGAGCACUGCUAUCUUCUGUAAUUAUCUAAACUUAAUUUUCAGAUACACCAUUUGUGUACAAUCAAUGUCUGCUACUAUUUUUUGCACCAAGAGCAUGAUGGGAGAAAAAUGGCUUGGUGGCCAGUUAGUAUUUUAGCUGUUUUCUAGGUAUACACAAAGAUACCAAAUAUUUUAAAGGCUACAAUUGGGUGUAUGUGGUAAAAUAAGUUGACUUUUCUCAGGCUUUAAUGCAUUAAAUGAAACAAGAUCCACUCAAGAACUAUUUGAACAUCUCCUAUUCUUCAGACACAGUUAAUAUUAUAUGAACAUUAUCUCAUGUGAAUCAUUCCUAUCAAAUAGGUAUAAACCUUACUUUGUAGAUCAAAUAGGUAACAUAGCUUGAUUAUAGCAUAGUUACAAAAUAGCAAUAGCAGACCAUCCUAUGAAUCUAUAACUUUUA